CCUGCCCGCGGCAGGGCUCCGCUGCUGUCCGCAACUUGUCGGCCUGCGGGGGCUGCCCCCCGCCGCCGCCCCGCGCCCCCCUCCACUGCCGCCCGCGGCGGCGGCGGCCGCCGGUGCUUCGCCGAGCAGCUGUCAAACGUUCUGGGCGCUCGGCGGCGGCGGGGGCGACUCGCCCGCGGUCCCCGCACCGAAUGGCAUGACUCUGCCUCCCGCCCGCCCCCCCGGCUGCGGUGUGCCGUAGUGAGGCGAGGGGUGGUUAAACCCCCAUCCUCCCAUACAUACGGUUUUUAUUUUUUGUUCAUCUUGGGGCUUUCACAUCACGGAACAGGAAAGCAUCUGAUGCGCCGGCUCACAUGCCGCUUCUGAUCAUACGUUGCCUCUUUGCACAGAGCAGGAUCGUUGGGAAAGAUGGAGAUACAAUAAGUUACUAGUAGUGAAAAGUGCUGCGGAAUUUCAGUGGUUUCUCCAGUGAAGUGACAUAUUCUUCCUCGAGUUAAGUUGAAAGCACUGCUUGGCGGAGACUGUCGUUGAGAGUGGGUUUGUGUUUUUCUUGCACCGUUAGGUUUUGCUAAGAGCGGCGAUGAAGAGGAAGCUGACACUCUCCGAGAUGCAGUUGGUUCUUCUCGUUUUAUUGGUGUGGCUACCAACAAGAUCAGUGCUGGCUGACUCACUGGAAGAUGAAGCUAAGAAUAACAUCACCAUCUUCACAAGAAUUCUAGACAGACUUCUGGAUGGUUAUGAUAAUCGCCUCAGACCUGGAUUAGGAGAUAGUAUUACUGAAGUCUUCACUAACAUCUAUGUGACCAGUUUUGGACCUGUUUCAGAUACUGAUAUGGAAUACACAAUAGAUGUGUUCUUCCGUCAGAGAUGGAAGGAUGAGAGAUUAAAGUUUAAGGGCCCAAUGAACAUUCUUCGGUUGAACAACCUAAUGGCCAGCAAAAUCUGGACCCCAGAUACAUUUUUUCACAAUGGGAAGAAGUCAGUGGCUCAUAACAUGACAAUGCCAAACAAGCUCCUACGAAUCCAAGAUGAUGGAACUCUGCUGUACACCAUGAGGCUUACAGUCCAAGCUGAAUGUCCAAUGCAUUUGGAGGACUUCCCCAUGGAUGCGCACUCAUGCCCACUGAAAUUCGGCAGCUAUGCAUACACAACUUCAGAAGUGACAUACAUUUGGACUUAUAAUGCUUCAGAUUCGGUACAGGUGGCACCAGAUGGCUCAAGAUUGAAUCAGUAUGAUCUUUUGGGUCAAACAAUUGGAAAAGAGACAGUUAAAUCCAGUACAGGUGAAUACACAGUUAUGACGGCUCAUUUUCACUUGAAGAGAAAAAUUGGUUAUUUUGUCAUUCAGACUUAUCUCCCCUGUAUUAUGACUGUCAUUCUCUCUCAAGUGUCAUUUUGGCUGAACAGAGAAUCUGUACCUGCCAGGACAGUCUUUGGAGUAACAACUGUGUUGACAAUGACAACACUAAGCAUCAGUGCUCGAAAUUCACUCCCCAAAGUAGCAUAUGCAACAGCUAUGGAUUGGUUUAUUGCUGUUUGUUAUGCAUUUGUAUUCUCUGCAUUAAUUGAAUUUGCAACUGUAAAUUAUUUCACAAAACGAGGAUGGGCCUGGGAUGGAAAAAGUGUAGUGAAUGAUAAGAAAAAAGAGAAAGCGUCUGUCAUUAAGAAAAAUAAUGCCUAUGCAGUGGCUGUUGCCAACUAUGCUCCAAAUAUUACCAAGGACUCAGUGCUACCAACCAUCUCCAAGAGUGCUACAACCGCAGAACCCAACAAGGCAAAACCAGAAGCGAAGCCACAAGAAGCAAAGAAGACAUUCAACAGUGUUAGCAAAAUUGACAGAAUGUCUAGAAUAGUGUUUCCAGUAUUAUUUGGUACUUUUAAUUUAGUGUAUUGGGCUACGUAUUUAAACAGGGAGCCUGUCUUACUUGGCUUUGCGCCAUCAACCUAAAAGCUGAAUUGCACUGAGGACUUAACGCAUCAUUCUAAUCAGAUAGGUUGUUUGCUAUGUACAGUCUGACUAAUAACUGCUAAUCUGUGAACCAUUAUGUACAGUGUGUAUAUAAAUGUGUAUCUCCAAAGGAGGCACACAGUGUUAAUUCAUGGGUCUGUAAACAGAUAGCACCCAUGGCAAAUACAGCCAGCUCUUUAAAAGUUAAACCCAGGGGACUUCGGUUGAACUAGCAUUCAAAUAUACAGAAUUAUAUUCUCUCCAUACAAUGAAAUGAAGAUAUGAUCCUACAUAAUUAUUUAGGAACAGUAUUUUUUUAUUUUAAAGUUAAAAUAUUUUUCUAUAAAGUAACUAAUUCUACUUUAAUGGAAGAAAAUGUCGUUUAAAAAAGUGAUUUUUUUUAAAGAGGUGUAAUUGUUUGAUACAAUAGCAGUACCCAUGUACAUAACAGAGUACAGAGGCCGUACAGUUCUACUCUUCACAAACAUUCUGGAUACUAGUUAGACUGAAGAGGCAGGAAAGACUACUAUAUGGCAAAAGCCACAAGUUUCUUACUUCUAUCCUCUUUGAAGUUGUUAAUAAAUUCAUCUAAUUGAUUUCAGGAAAAAGUGCUAAUCAAAUUUCCAAUAUAAACCAACUUCUGCUAGUGAGACUCUUAUUCUUUUCAUUGCUUUAUUUAUUUGAUGUUGCUAAGCCGGGUUGUCUGGUUCAGCAAGGAGUAUUUUUUGCCUUUUGAUUUUGUUCUUAAUUGGGUGUUAUCAGGUUCAUUAGAGCUCUCAGAAAUUUUUCAGGGUUAAGUAUAUCAGUAAUAUAAUAUAUUUUAUUUCCUUGCCUAAUGUUUUCCUAAAGCUUACCAUUAAAAUAUUUACCUGUGUUUGUCCCAGGAAGCACUGUUUUCAAAGGAAACAAGAACCAUGAUUUAAGUUGAGGAAAUUGUCCAUAUAAUAAAAUUUACUGCUGCUUUUGUAAAUCGCAACUUUACAUUUCGCUGACAUAACUUUACAACAACUUUGUAUACUAGAAAUGAUUUUGCUAAGAUUUGAAUGUUAUUUUUUUAAUAAAAGGUCAUGCAUCAUCAGUAGGUAUCAACUGUAUUUCAUACACACAAAUACAACAAAAUUGGAGCUGUCAUUGGCAAUUUUAUAAGAACAUUUAAUACUAUCAGUAAAAUUGUUUUUCAUCUAAGCCUUUGCAAAGAUUCUUUAUGCCCCUAAAGGCCUGGUAAAUCAUAAGAAAUAAUUGUGUACUGUAUUUAGAUUUUAGUAUACUUGGCCAAUCAAAAAUAUUUUGAUUCACACAUACAUUAGCAGUUAUUAGUUGACCUUUAAAAAAAGAUACACCUUUAUGAUGAUGUCUUCUAGUAGAGACAUUUGUAGUCGUAUAGUGUCAUUUAUUGCAGUUUUGUACAGUACUUGAGUAUAGUGCAUAAAAUAGAUAUGUUCAGAGUUUAAAAAAAAGUUGUACAAAUAUUUCUAAAAUCAAAUAAAAUAAUAUAUUAAGACAUGGAAAUGUACUAAAAAGAACAAAGAGAAACACUGCUUUCUUUUGCUGUUUUAUUUUCUUGCUUUUUAUUUGCUUUUGAUGUGAUUCUGUUUGUACUUUGUGUGACAGUAUACACGCCAAGGUCACAAAUGCAUAUUAUGAAUAGAAUUAAUAGUUAAGACAGAGCUGAAAUCAGUAAAAUAAAGACAUUUUGUAGGUUAUAAAUGAAAGGGAGAAGCAUGGACAAGGUGUGUAUCCCUUGAAUUCCCUCUAAGUAAACUGUCAGUCUAAACCUUUCUCAUCAACAGUAGCUAAAAAAUGAGCACUUUACUCAGAACAUUAAAAUAAAAAGUAUCCUUAUUUUCAUAUAUAUUUAUAUGUAAAUGUAGAUCUUCCAUGUAACAUGGAGAUGUGUGCAAUAGUGUGAUUAUGAGCAUAAGGCUGGAAGGCAAGCAAUAAAAAAAGGUUUUUUCAUGGUAUAACUAUACAUUUUUAAAAUGUUUCAUUUGUAAAUUAUAAAUUUUCCCUUCAACAUCACAUUGUCCAGGUAUGAAUAAGUAUAUAAAUAUGUACAUAUGUACAAAUAAUUGUAAAUAUUAGGACUACAGAAAAAUCCCUUCCCUUUUAACUCUGUUUUUGGCAAAGGGCUCUGACUGUAUAGUUCAAUGGAGGCCCAUGCUAAACUGCUUGAUUAUGUUUUCUGUGACUGAGGUGUCCCUCCUGUGACCUACUGGGAGUCCGUACCUUCUGUUUACAUCAUGACCUAGGGACUCUCCAAACCUCAUUGGACUGGGGUAUGAGAAACAGAGGUUUGUGUUUCACGCUUGGCUACAUCCCAGGUACUCAAAGCCUUCCCAAUGUUGACGUGAUGUUGUGUAUUUCUCCUUGCAUGACACUUUAUAGUCAGAACUCUGCCCACACCAAAUAUGAGUGUGCUCAAAGUCAUGUUGAAUUACCUGAUAAGGAAGGAUUUUACAUCCUUGUCUAAGAAUGGGACCCUUCAAAGGUUUUUAACAGUACAAGUCUUCUCCAACAAGACUUCUUCUCUGGAAAAUAACAUCUGGAUAAUUCAGAGCUGCAUGCAAAAAAUGUAUCUUGAGUUUACACAAGAAGCCGACGAUGUCUAAAGUUAGUCAGCUCUGCUACUACUGCUUUUAUUGGGUACAACUAUUUUUUCAUUCACUGACCCUUUUCUCUAUGCUUGUGUUAUGCUUAGAGUUGGUCAAAAAGAUGUUUAUCACAUGCUAAAGAUACAUUUAUUGCACAUUAAUAUAGAAAAGUGGGCAUACUAUACAAACGCAGUGAAAAAGAAUAAAUUUUAAACAUUUACAUGCAGUUAUUGUGGGCAUCAGCAAGACUUUUAAGUGUAUAUGCUCCAGAGAAGUUUCACUUUUACAUUUAGGUCAGUUUGUCUACAUUAAAGCAAACUCCUUCUGUGGGAAGAAGGAGUCUGCUUUAUUGAUUCACUACAGAAACAUUUACAGUGGGCAAACUGAGUACACAUAAGUUGCAAAUUUGUAAGACUGUCAACUGGAUAAGUGAAUUUAAAUGUGAAUUUAAAUGAAUGGAAGCACUGCACAAGGAAUGCCACAGUUAGCCUUCUUUUCAUUUAGCAGUAUAGAGUCUGUGUUUGGGAUUUUAAAGCUGGUGUCACAAAGUGAAAUGCAAAUACCCAGAAGUUUCAUUUCAUUCGAGUAGAGAGAGAGAGAGAGAGAAUGAGUGAGAAAACGUAGGUCACUUCUCUCUCAAAGACUUGCAUAUGGAAUCUACCAGUAAAUUUUUUGGUUGACAUGUUAAUCUAAUUUAUUUUUCCCAUUAUUUUUGGGUCAGGGUAUCAUAUUUUAUAUGACUUAAGAAAUUAUUACAAAGAUAUACUUACACUCUGUUAAACUUAUAUUGGAGUUACAAUAGUUCCACAUGAGGUUUAGGAAUCAGUUUCCAAUGUAGUAUUAGGGUACAGACUUCUGGAUGCAUGUGGUCAGUUAAUUUAACAGUAAUUUACAAAUCAGCAUGAAAACUAUGGAGAUCAGCAGGGUUUAUCAGCCAGAGUUGUCUGCUGGACACUUCAUGACAGAUUGCUUUUAAAAGAGUGGCUUCCAAACUUCUUAGUUAUACUGUAGCCAGUGAAAUUACCUUCACCUUCCAUAUCUGGGUUAAUUCAACUUAACUGCUGCAUUGUUGAGCAUCUUUAAAAAAAAUUUUAUGGUAGGUGUUCUGAGAUACAAGCUUUAGUUUGAGAGACUACUCAUACCAGUGAACAUUAUUCUAAAUUAAGGAGAGAGCAUAGUAUUUGCCCGUAUAGUCACAGGAGAGAGCAUUUAGACACCAAACGGGAGCCUUACUGAAUCACCUUCCCUUGCCAGUUGUUAUAGGUGGUGAGACUUUUCAAAAGUGGGGUGACCAUAAACUGUCUGUAUGAAAUCAAUCAGAAGCAGCUGGGAGAAGGUAAGGAUGUAUGAGGGAGGAAAAGAAGGAGGAGAAAAAGCUUUGUUACCAUGUCAGUGGAUUGUGAGGUAACCGAGGAAGAAGCCAUCGAGGAAUUAAUGUGUAUUUCUGUUUCAGCUUCAGUUCUGAGCCUUCACUGCCACAUGUGAGUUGUGGGAAAGUAACUCUUAGAGCAUAUGAAAUUGAAAUACUUCUUGUACAGUUCUGCUGAACUUGAGGGACAUGGGUUGUGCCUUUGAAAGUGCAAGGUUUCUACUGACUGCUUUGUGAAAAAUCUCAGACAGUCAGCAUCCAUCCUCCAUACCUCUCAAUCCUAUUCUGAAAGUUUAGUGGUGCACAAGUUUUGCCUUGGCCUUUCACAAAAUAGAUGGUCUGUGCUGCUGAGCAUUUCUAUUCCUAACAAGUCUGCACAGAAGAUUAUCUUGGCAUGGAUAUGAAGCUAUCAUCAGUCUCUGCCCAGUUAUGUGUAGACACAGAAUGCUAAAAUUUAUAAAGCGAUGCAAUGAGUUCUAAAGUAGAGGAAGAAAACAUUUCAAAACAAACCCAGGAAGUUAAAUAUCUUUAUUUUAAAAACACAUAAGAUAAAUGUACAAAUGUCCAAACACAUUGAAAUAUAAUCUCUGUGGUAUAAUUUGAUGUCACAUAAAAAGUUUUUGUCUUCCAUACACUGAAACACUAAAGUAAUUAUGUGAAUUUAUAUGAAAUUCAGCUCAUGCUUCAGCCUCGUGUAGAUAAUGGCUCUUUAUAAAGGAGUGUUAGGAUUCCUUCCACCUUCUCCACGUAACAGUGUACCUUCUUCUAAAAUGCUCUCAGUGUGCUAUAGAACUUUGUUAUAUCCCUUUAAUGUCUUGCUAUUUUUUUCUUUUUAGUCAAGAAGACCUUCUCUGCCUCAUUUCUGCAGAUAACCCAAACUCCCUAACAACCAGAACUUUUAAUUAUAUUCUGAAUCUAAUUGUUAAUUAGAGCCAUCUGAGAAUCCGUGAGGGACUUCAUCACUUCAUGCCUUUAGUAGUAGAAGUUAAAGGAUCAAAACUUACUUUCAAUGAAUGGCAGAUCUUCAUCACAUAAAAUACUUGUUUUCCUCUACUUUAAGCCACCUACUUUUUGAGAUUCACAUCUGUAUGUGAAUUGUUUAGCUUGCGUUUUGGAAUCUGUGUUUACAUCUUAUUGGAAGAGGCUAAACUCUGAGGGCUUGUCAUCUCUGAUAGAGAUCAGGGCAAAAUUAGCACUGAAUUUAAAGUAAAACUGAAUUUUUACAGAGGAGGAGUACAUUUAACAGUACAUCUGGACUCUCCUUUGGAUAGAGGUUGGCAGUUCUUUAAUCCAUGAAAAUAAACCCUUAAAAGAAGAGUCAACCAUACUGAAAUACAGGACUUGAUGUCUUUUCUAUUUUUGGUAUAUAUUAAUGCCCUUUAAGAAUGUUUACAAAGAGCUGUGAGAAUUAGGUGAUAACACUAACAAAAAGGAAUUUGGAGGAUGUUUUAAAAUAUGCAAGAUACUCUUCCUUUAGUGUUGAAGUCUACAUAAAUACAUAUGAUUAUAUUUUUAUUAAAAGUUUAUUAAAAGUUCUAUUUUGCUUUUAAAUUUUAAUUCUUAUCAUAACGUUGUGAAUACUUCACUCAAUCAGGGGUUCUGGAACAUGUCUUUAUGCAUUCAAGGUUUUUAGUGAAUGCUUUCACUCAUCUGACAUUAAAAGAGGCAAACUCAAGCUUCAACAGGUUGAAGAGUUAUAUUUGUUUUCCAGUACUUAAUCCAUCUAACUAUGCUGUUGAGGAUGAAUGGAAAUAGAGAAUGAAACAAGAUAUUACUUUGAUCAACUGAUUUUGAUAUUCUUUAUUAGAUGUUCAUUUUGGCUGAAUUUAUCAGUUUAUAGGCUACUGUAGCUUAGCAUUAGCACGGAAUGCAAUGUAGUACUUUACAUCUAUUAGAAUACAUAUGCACCGUAUCUAUAAACUGUUAAAGAAUCAGUUCCUAAACAGCACCCCUUCACCCUCUCCCCUCCAAAUAGUCACUUUAUUAGGAAACAUUUGAAGGCACUUUAAUUUUAAUGGACAUUAUUAGAUUAAAUCUUUUUAUACUUUAUUUAAAAAAAUUGUAAAAAUAAAGUGGAGUCUGAUUCAGACGUGGUUAGCAACUUCUCAGCUGGGCUGGAGUCAGAAAGCAUUUAUGCAUUGUAUGACAAAUCUACUUUAGUGAGUCACUUAGGCAUGAAAAUGUAUAGCACUUGGAAAAUAAAUGCUUCCAGUAUACUAAUGAGGAAUAAGGAAACAGGAAGAAUGAACCAAUAAUAUUAAAGAAAAUUAAACACCAAUCAAAUAUGCACAGUAAGAAACUGCAUGAUAAAUGUAAGUAUACUUAACUUUGAACAUCAACAUCAUACAAAAUCUUCUGGGUGACAGUUCACUUAUUUAGUAGGUUUCAUAGUCAUAAAUAAUUAAAGAGGAUGAUAAUAUUCUGUAAUUUGUGACCUUGUUUUAACUGGGAAAAUUGUUACUUUUCUAAAAUGUAAAAGAAAUAACUGGAUUUAUGUUUGAAUGUGUCACUGCUUGCUGUUGAGGAAUAUUUAUUAACCACAUGCAAAAUAUUGCUUAACAUUAUCUUUUUGUACUUCUUAUUAAAGUUAAUUUAAAUAUA